GUGUUUGUAGUCCAACGGUUAGGAUUUAUGAUAAUUGCCUUCCAAGCAAUAGACCCGCGUUCGACUCCCGGCAAACGCA